rnacentral:rRNA from 1 species
AUGAACGCUAGCUACAGGCUUAACACAUGCAAGUCGAGGGGCAGCAUGAACUUAGCUUGCUAAGUUUGAUGGCGACCGGCGCACGGGUGAGUAACACGUAUCCAACCUGCCGAUGACUCGGGGAUAGCCUUUCGAAAGAAAGAUUAAUACCCGAUGGCAUAGUUCUUCCGCAUGGUAGAACUAUUAAAGAAUUUCGGUCAUCGAUGGGGAUGCGUUCCAUUAGGUUGUUGGCGGGGUAACGGCCCACCAAGCCUUCGAUGGAUAGGGGUUCUGAGAGGAAGGUCCCCCACAUUGGAACUGAGACACGGUCCAAACUCCUACGGGAGGCAGCAGUGAGGAAUAUUGGUCAAUGGACGAGAGUCUGAACCAGCCAAGUAGCGUGAAGGAUGACUGCCCUAUGGGUUGUAAACUUCUUUUAUACGGGAAUAAAGUGAGGCACGUGUGCCUUUUUGUAUGUACCGUAUGAAUAAGGAUCGGCUAACUCCGUGCCAGCAGCCGCGGUAAUACGGAGGAUCCGAGCGUUAUCCGGAUUUAUUGGGUUUAAAGGGAGCGUAGGCGGACGCUUAAGUCAGUUGUGAAAGUUUGCGGCUCAACCGUAAAAUUGCAGUUGAUACUGGGUGUCUUGAGUACAGUAGAGGCAGGCGGAAUUCGUGGUGUAGCGGUGAAAUGCUUAGAUAUCACGAAGAACUCCGAUUGCGAAGGCAGCUUGCUGGACUGUAACUGACGCUGAUGCUCGAAAGUGUGGGUAUCAAACAGGAUUAGAUACCCUGGUAGUCCACACAGUAAACGAUGAAUACUCGCUGUUUGCGAUAUACAGUAAGCGGCCAAGCGAAAGCGUUAAGUAUUCCACCUGGGGAGUACGCCGGCAACGGUGAAACUCAAAGGAAUUGACGGGCACCCGCACAAGCGGUGGAGCAUGCUGUUUAAUUCGAAGAUACGCGAAGAACCUUACCUAGACUUGACAUCCCCGGCAAAGCUAUAGAAAUAUAGUGGAGGUUACCCGGGUGACAGGUGGUGCAUGGUUGUCGUCAGCUCGUGCCGUGAGGUGUCGGCUUAAGUGCCAUAACGAGCGCAACCCUUAUCGAUAGUUACCAUCAGGUUAUGCUGGGGACUCUGUCGAGACUGCCGUCGUAAGAUGUGAGGAAGGUGGGGAUGACGUCAAAUCAGCACGGCCCUUACGUCCGGGGCUACACACGUGUUACAAUGGGGGGUACAGAAGGCAGCUACACGGCGACGUGAUGCUAAUCCCGAAAGCCUCUCUCAGUUCGGAUUGGAGUCUGCAACCCGACUCCAUGAAGCUGGAUUCGCUAGUAAUCGCGCAUCAGCCACGGCGCGGUGAAUACGUUCCCGGGCCUUGUACACACCGCCCGUCACACCAUGAGAGCCGGGGGGACCCGAAGUCGAUAGUCUAACCGCAAGGAGGACGUCGCCGAAGGUAAAACUGGUGAUUGGGGUG